CUACGGGUUGCUGCAGUGAGGAAUAUUGCACAAUGGGGGAAACCCUGAUGCAGCAACGCCGCGUGGAGGAUGACGCAUUUCGGUGUGUAAACUCCUUUUAUCAGAGAAGAAAAUGACGGUAUCUGAUGAAUAAGCUCCGGCUAACUCCGUGCCAGCAGCCGCGGGAAUACGGAGGGAGCAAGCGUUAUUCGGAAUCACUGGGCGUAAAGGGCGCGUAGGCGGGUUUUUAAGUCAGGUGUGAAAUCCUAUGGCUCAACCAUAGAACUGCACUUGAAACUGGGGACCUAGAGUAUGGAAGGGGCAGGUGGAAUUAGUGGUGUAGGGGUAAAAUCCGUAGAUAUCACUAGGAAUACCGAAAGCGAAGGCGACCUGCUGGGACAUUACUGACGCUGAGGCGUGAAAGCGUGGGGAGCAAACAGGAUUAGAUACCCGGGUAGUC
rnacentral:rRNA from 1 species